rfam:Pedobacter cryoconitis strain PAMC 27485, complete genome.
AAGGCAUAAACUGAAAAGCCAUAAAAGAGUAGGUA